rnacentral:rRNA from 1 species
GGGUUGUGAGGUUAAGCGACUAAGCGUACACGGUGGAUGCCCUGGCAGUCAGAGGCGAUGAAGGACGUGCUAAUCUGCGAUAAGCGUCGGUAAGGUGAUAUGAACCGUUAUAACCGGCGAUUUCCGAAUGGGGAAACCCAGUGUGAUUCGUCACACUAUCAUUAACUGAAUCCAUAGGUUAAUGAGGCGAACCGGGGGAACUGAAACAUCUAAGUACCCCGAGGAAAAGAAAUCAACCGAGAUUCCCCCAGUAGCGGCGAGCGAACGGGGAGCAGCCCAGAGCCUGAAUCAGUGUGUGUGUUAGUGGAAGCGUCUGGAAAGGCGCGCGAUACAGGGUGACAGCCCCGUACACAAAAAUGCACAUACUGUGAGCUCGAUGAGUAGGGCGGGACACGUGGUAUCCUGUCUGAAUAUGGGGGGACCAUCCUCCAAGGCUAAAUACUCCUGACUGACCGAUAGUGAACCAGUACCGUGAGGGAAAGGCGAAAAGAACCCCGGCGAGGGGAGUGAAAAAGAACCUGAAACCGUGUACGUACAAGCAGUGGGAGCACAGAGCAAUCUGUGUGACUGCGUACCUUUUGUAUAAUGGGUCAGCGACUUAUAUUCUGUAGCAAGGUUAACCGAAUAGGGGAGCCGAAGGGAAACCGAGUCUUAACUGGGCGUUAAGUUGCAGGGUAUAGACCCGAAACCCGGUGAUCUAGCCAUGGGCAGGUUGAAGGUUGGGUAACACUAACUGGAGGACCGAACCGACUAAUGUUGAAAAAUUAGCGGAUGACUUGUGGCUGGGGGUGAAAGGCCAAUCAAACCGGGAGAUAGCUGGUUCUCCCCGAAAGCUAUUUAGGUAGCGCCUCGUGAAUUCAUCUCCGGGGGUAGAGCACUGUUUCGGCAAGGGGGUCAUCCCGACUUACCAACCCGAUGCAAACUGCGAAUACCGGAGAAUGUUAUCACGGGAGACACACGGCGGGUGCUAACGUCCGUCGUGAAGAGGGAAACAACCCAGACCGCCAGCUAAGGUCCCAAAGUCAUGGUUAAGUGGGAAACGAUGUGGGAAGGCCCAGACAGCCAGGAUGUUGGCUUAGAAGCAGCCAUCAUUUAAAGAAAGCGUAAUAGCUCACUGGUCGAGUCGGCCUGCGCGGAAGAUGUAACGGGGCUAAACCAUGCACCGAAGCUGCGGCAGCGACGCUUAUGCGUUGUUGGGUAGGGGAGCGUUCUGUAAGCCUGCGAAGGUGUGCUGUGAGGCAUGCUGGAGGUAUCAGAAGUGCGAAUGCUGACAUAAGUAACGAUAAAGCGGGUGAAAAGCCCGCUCGCCGGAAGACCAAGGGUUCCUGUCCAACGUUAAUCGGGGCAGGGUGAGUCGACCCCUAAGGCGAGGCCGAAAGGCGUAGUCGAUGGGAAACAGGUUAAUAUUCCUGUACUUGGUGUUACUGCGAAGGGGGGACGGAGAAGGCUAUGUUGGCCGGGCGACGGUUGUCCCGGUUUAAGCGUGUAGGCUGGUUUUCCAGGCAAAUCCGGAAAAUCAAGGCUGAGGCGUGAUGACGAGGCACUACGGUGCUGAAGCAACAAAUGCCCUGCUUCCAGGAAAAGCCUCUAAGCAUCAGGUAACAUCAAAUCGUACCCCAAACCGACACAGGUGGUCAGGUAGAGAAUACCAAGGCGCUUGAGAGAACUCGGGUGAAGGAACUAGGCAAAAUGGUGCCGUAACUUCGGGAGAAGGCACGCUGAUAUGUAGGUGAAGUCCCUCGCGGAUGGAGCUGAAAUCAGUCGAAGAUACCAGCUGGCUGCAACUGUUUAUUAAAAACACAGCACUGUGCAAACACGAAAGUGGACGUAUACGGUGUGACGCCUGCCCGGUGCCGGAAGGUUAAUUGAUGGGGUUAGCGCAAGCGAAGCUCUUGAUCGAAGCCCCGGUAAACGGCGGCCGUAACUAUAACGGUCCUAAGGUAGCGAAAUUCCUUGUCGGGUAAGUUCCGACCUGCACGAAUGGCGUAAUGAUGGCCAGGCUGUCUCCACCCGAGACUCAGUGAAAUUGAACUCGCUGUGAAGAUGCAGUGUACCCGCGGCAAGACGGAAAGACCCCGUGAACCUUUACUAUAGCUUGACACUGAACAUUGAGCCUUGAUGUGUAGGAUAGGUGGGAGGCUUUGAAGUGUGGACGCCAGUCUGCAUGGAGCCGACCUUGAAAUACCACCCUUUAAUGUUUGAUGUUCUAACGUGGACCCGUAAUCCGGGUUGCGGACAGUGUCUGGUGGGUAGUUUGACUGGGGCGGUCUCCUCCUAAAGAGUAACGGAGGAGCACGAAGGUUGGCUAAUCCUGGUCGGACAUCAGGAGGUUAGUGCAAUGGCAUAAGCCAGCUUGACUGCGAGCGUGACGGCGCGAGCAGGUGCGAAAGCAGGUCAUAGUGAUCCGGUGGUUCUGAAUGGAAGGGCCAUCGCUCAACGGAUAAAAGGUACUCCGGGGAUAACAGGCUGAUACCGCCCAAGAGUUCAUAUCGACGGCGGUGUUUGGCACCUCGAUGUCGGCUCAUCACAUCCUGGGGCUGAAGUAGGUCCCAAGGGUAUGGCUGUUCGCCAUUUAAAGUGGUACGCGAGCUGGGUUUAGAACGUCGUGAGACAGUUCGGUCCCUAUCUGCCGUGGGCGCUGGAGAAUUGAGGGGGGCUGCUCCUAGUACGAGAGGACCGGAGUGGACGCAUCACUGGUGUUCGGGUUGUCAUGCCAAUGGCACUGCCCGGUAGCUAAAUGCGGAAGAGAUAAGUGCUGAAAGCAUCUAAGCACGAAACUUGCCCCGAGAUGAGUUCUCCCUGACUCCUUGAGAGUCCUGAAGGAACGUUGAAGACGACGACGUUGAUAGGCCGGGUGUGUAAGCGCAGCGAUGCGUUGAGCUAACCGGUACUAAUGAACCGUGAGGCUUAACCUUACAACGCCGAAG